AUUGAACGCUGGCGGCAGGCCUAACCCAUGCAAGUCGAACGAGUGGCGGACGGGUGAGUAAUUUCUGGGAAACUGCCCGAUGGCGGGGGAUACCUACUGGAAACGUUAGCUAAUACCGCAUACCAUCGGAUGUGCCCAUAUGGGAUUAGCUAGUAGGUGGGGUAACGGCUCACCUAGGCGACGAUCCCUAGCUGGUCUGAGAGGAUGACCAGCCACACUGGAACUGAGACACGGUCCAGACUCCUACGGGAGGCAGCAGUGGGGAAUAUUGCACAAUGGGCGCAAGCCUGAUGCAGCCAUGCCGCGUGUAUGAAGAAGGCCUUCGGGUUGUAAAGUACUUUCAGCGAGGAGGCGUUACUCGCAGAAGAAGCACCGGCUAACUCCGUGCCAGCAGCCGCGGUAAUUC
rnacentral:rRNA from 1 species